AAGCCAGACUCCUACGGGAGGCAGCAGUGGGGGAUAUUGCACAAUGGGGGGAACCCUGAUGCAGCGACGCCGCGUGGGUGAAGGAGCGUUUCGGCGCGUAAAGCCCUAUCGGCAGGGAAGAAGGAGGACGGUACCUGACUAAGAAGCCCCGGCUAACUACGUGCCAGCAGCCGCGGUAAUACGUAGGGGGCAAGCGUUAUCCGGAUUUACUGGGUGUAAAGGGGGCGCAGACGGCAGCGCAAGCCAGGAGUGAAAGCCCGGGGCCCAACCCCGGGACUGCUCUUGGAACUGCGCGGCUGGAGUGCAGGAGGGGCAGGCGGAAUUCCUGGUGUAGCGGUGAAAUGCGUAGAUAUCAGGAGGAACACCGGUGGCGAAGGCGGCCUGCUGGACUGCGACUGACGUUGAGGCCCGAAAGCGUGGGGAGCAAACAGGAUUAGAUACCCCUGUA
rnacentral:rRNA from 1 species